AACGCACAUUGCGCCCGCCAGUAUUCUGGCGGGCAUGCCUGUUCGAGCGUCAUUUCAACCAUCAAGCCCCGGGCUUGUGUUGGGGACCUGCGGCUGCCGCAGGCCCUGAAAACCAGUGGCGGGCUCGCUAGUCACUCCGAGCGUAGUAGUUACACCUCGCUCAGGGCGUGCUGCGGGUUCCGGCCGUGAAACCCCCCAUUUACAAGGUUGACCUCGGAUCAGGUAGGAAGACCCGCUGAACUUAA
rnacentral:misc_RNA from 1 species